rnacentral:rRNA from 1 species
GUGGGGAAUCUUGCGCAAUGGGCGAAAGCCUGACGCAGCCAUGCCGCGUGAAUGAUGAAGGUCUUAGGAUUGUAAAAUUCUUUCACCGGGGACGAUAAUGACGGUACCCGGAGAAGAAGCUCCGGCUAACUUCGUGCCAGCAGCCGCGGUAAUACGAAGGGGGCUAGCGUUGCUCGGAAUUACUGGGCGUAAAGGGCGCGUAGGCGGACAGCUUAGUCAGAGGUGAAAGCCCAGGGCUCAACCUUGGAAUUGCCUUUGAUACUGGCUGUCUUGAGUGUGGGAGAGGUGAGUGGAACUCCGAGUGUAGAGGUGAAAUUCGUAGAUAUUCGGAAGAACACCAGUGGCGAAGGCGACUCACUGGCCCAAUACUGACGCUGAGGCGCGAAAGCGUGGGGAGCAAACAGGAUUAGAUACCCUGGUAGUCC